GAUUUUUUGUUUAAGUUCUUGGUUAUUGGAAAUGCAGGAACUGGCAAAUCUUGCUUACUUCAUCAGUUUAUUGAAAAAAAAUUCAAAGAUGACUCAAAUCAUACAAUAGGAGUGGAAUUUGGUUCAAAGAUAAUAAAUGUUGGUGGUAAAUAUGUAAAGUUACAAAUAUGGGAUACAGCAGGACAAGAACGAUUCAGAAACUUCAUUUUUGGAAACUUUGAUUGACAAGACAGCUAAUCAGGUUAGCUCUCUGCAGCAUGGAUUGCUAAAGAAUACAGGAGGAUCUCCGCGCAACUGCAUUAUAAUUCGGAGGCUGACCCAUUCUCAGGAGGAUGUGGCACUGUGUAUUGUACAGUAUGUUUCUAGAUUCAAAUCAAAGCACAAGCUUGUUUUUCUGUGUUCCUUUUUUAAAGAAGAACUUUUUAAAA
rnacentral:sRNA from 1 species